UAAGCGACUAAGCGUACACGGUGGAUGCCCUGGCAGUCAGAGGCGAUGAAGGACGUGCUAAUCUGCGAUAAGCGUCGGUAAGGUGAUAUGAACCGUUAUAACCGGCGAUUUCCGAAUGGGGAAACCCAGUGUGAUUCGUCACACUAUCAUUAACUGAAUCCAUAGGUUAAUGAGGCGAACCGGGGGAACUGAAACAUCUAAGUACCCCGAGGAAAAGAAAUCAACCGAGAUUCCCCCAGUAGCGGCGAGCGAACGGGGAGCAGCCCAGAGCCUGAAUCAGUGUGUGUGUUAGUGGAAGCGUCUGGAAAGGCGCGCGAUACAGGGUGACAGCCCCGUACACAAAAAUGCACAUGCUGUGAGCUCGAUGAGUAGGGCGGGACACGUGGUAUCCUGUCUGAAUAUGGGGGGACCAUCCUCCAAGGCUAAAUACUCCUGACUGACCGAUAGUGAACCAGUACCGUGAGGGAAAGGCGAAAAGAACCCCGGCGAGGGGAGUGAAAAAGAACCUGAAACCGUGUACGUACAAGCAGUGGGAGCACGCUUCGGCGUGUGACUGCGUACCUUUUGUAUAAUGGGUCAGCGACUUAUAUUCUGUAGCAAGGUUAACCGAAUAGGGGAGCCGAAGGGAAACCGAGUCUUAACUGGGCGUUAAGUUGCAGGGUAUAGACCCGAAACCCGGUGAUCUAGCCAUGGGCAGGUUGAAGGUUGGGUAACACUAACUGGAGGACCGAACCGACUAAUGUUGAAAAAUUAGCGGAUGACUUGUGGCUGGGGGUGAAAGGCCAAUCAAACCGGGAGAUAGCUGGUUCUCCCCGAAAGCUAUUUAGGUAGCGCCUCGUGAAUUCAUCUCCGGGGGUAGAGCACUGUUUCGGCAAGGGGGUCAUCCCGACUUACCAACCCGAUGCAAACUGCGAAUACCGGAGAAUGUUAUCACGGGAGACACACGGCGGGUGCUAACGUCCGUCGUGAAGAGGGAAACAACCCAGACCGCCAGCUAAGGUCCCAAAGUCAUGGUUAAGUGGGAAACGAUGUGGGAAGGCCCAGACAGCCAGGAUGUUGGCUUAGAAGCAGCCAUCAUUUAAAGAAAGCGUAAUAGCUCACUGGUCGAGUCGGCCUGCGCGGAAGAUGUAACGGGGCUAAACCAUGCACCGAAGCUGCGGCAGCGACGCUUAUGCGUUGUUGGGUAGGGGAGCGUUCUGUAAGCCUGCGAAGGUGUGCUGUGAGGCAUGCUGGAGGUAUCAGAAGUGCGAAUGCUGACAUAAGUAACGAUAAAGCGGGUGAAAAGCCCGCUCGCCGGAAGACCAAGGGUUCCUGUCCAACGUUAAUCGGGGCAGGGUGAGUCGACCCCUAAGGCGAGGCCGAAAGGCGUAGUCGAUGGGAAACAGGUUAAUAUUCCUGUACUUGGUGUUACUGCGAAGGGGGGACGGAGAAGGCUAUGUUGGCCGGGCGACGGUUGUCCCGGUUUAAGCGUGUAGGCUGGUUUUCCAGGCAAAUCCGGAAAAUCAAGGCUGAGGCGUGAUGACGAGGCACUACGGUGCUGAAGCAACAAAUGCCCUGCUUCCAGGAAAAGCCUCUAAGCAUCAGGUAACAUCAAAUCGUACCCCAAACCGACACAGGUGGUCAGGUAGAGAAUACCAAGGCGCUUGAGAGAACUCGGGUGAAGGAACUAGGCAAAAUGGUGCCGUAACUUCGGGAGAAGGCACGCUGAUAUGUAGGUGAAGUCCCUUGCGGAUGGAGCUGAAAUCAGUCGAAGAUACCAGCUGGCUGCAACUGUUUAUUAAAAACACAGCACUGUGCAAACACGAAAGUGGACGUAUACGGUGUGACGCCUGCCCGGUGCCGGAAGGUUAAUUGAUGGGGUUAGCCGCAAGGCGAAGCUCUUGAUCGAAGCCCCGGUAAACGGCGGCCGUAACUAUAACGGUCCUAAGGUAGCGAAAUUCCUUGUCGGGUAAGUUCCGACCUGCACGAAUGGCGUAAUGAUGGCCAGGCUGUCUCCACCCGAGACUCAGUGAAAUUGAACUCGCUGUGAAGAUGCAGUGUACCCGCGGCAAGACGGAAAGACCCCGUGAACCUUUACUAUAGCUUGACACUGAACAUUGAGCCUUGAUGUGUAGGAUAGGUGGGAGGCUUUGAAGUGUGGACGCCAGUCUGCAUGGAGCCGACCUUGAAAUACCACCCUUUAAUGUUUGAUGUUCUAACGUUGACCCGUAAUCCGGGUUGCGGACAGUGUCUGGUGGGUAGUUUGACUGGGGCGGUCUCCUCCUAAAGAGUAACGGAGGAGCACGAAGGUUGGCUAAUCCUGGUCGGACAUCAGGAGGUUAGUGCAAUGGCAUAAGCCAGCUUGACUGCGAGCGUGACGGCGCGAGCAGGUGCGAAAGCAGGUCAUAGUGAUCCGGUGGUUCUGAAUGGAAGGGCCAUCGCUCAACGGAUAAAAGGUACUCCGGGGAUAACAGGCUGAUACCGCCCAAGAGUUCAUAUCGACGGCGGUGUUUGGCACCUCGAUGUCGGCUCAUCACAUCCUGGGGCUGAAGUAGGUCCCAAGGGUAUGGCUGUUCGCCAUUUAAAGUGGUACGCGAGCUGGGUUUAGAACGUCGUGAGACAGUUCGGUCCCUAUCUGCCGUGGGCGCUGGAGAACUGAGGGGGGCUGCUCCUAGUACGAGAGGACCGGAGUGGACGCAUCACUGGUGUUCGGGUUGUCAUGCCAAUGGCACUGCCCGGUAGCUAAAUGCGGAAGAGAUAAGUGCUGAAAGCAUCUAAGCACGAAACUUGCCCCGAGAUGAGUUCUCCCUGACCCUUUAAGGGUCCUGAAGGAACGUUGAAGACGACGACGUUGAUAGGCCGGGUGUGUAAGCGCAGCGAUGCGUUGAGCUAACCGGUACUAAUGAACCGUGAGGCUUAACCU
rnacentral:rRNA from 1 species